rnacentral:tRNA from 1 species
GGGCCCGUAGCUCAGUUGGUAGAGCACCUGACUUUUAAUCAGGUUGUCGUAGGUUCGAUCCCUACCGGGCUCACCA